UUUUUAUUGAAGUUUUGGAUGAUAAAUACAUAUGUGUUUGGGGAGAGUGAGGUGAUACAUUAGCAAGAAAAACAUUCAUACAUACAUAUUAAAACAAAAACGUAGAUACAUCAUACAACGGUAAAACAUGUAAAAUCAAAAAAUAAUUUAAGAAAAUAAUUUAUGUGCUGCCUUACUAUCACAGAUUUACCUAAACAUUCCAAAUAGUUUAUCAAAAUCUAAACGUUUAUUCAAAUGCUCUAUCAACGUCUCCUAGGAAAUACUUCAAAUGAUUUAAAACAUACAUAGACGUCGCUUGGUAGGUUGGUAACAGUUGUAAUGCAUUGAUACAUAACGGUGUUAUUGUAUCAGACUGAAUUGUAAUUCGUUUCGAUAUAAAACACAUUCCAGACAAUAUAUAAUUCUUUAACAAUCGCAAGUCAUCCUCGAAGGUGUGAAUUUCUGUACGAUGCAGAUUUCGUUCUUGAAUUUCCAUGGAAAUUAUCUGUAUGAAAUAAGCCUUGAAUGAUAACACGAUAUCCGCCAAUCCAGCAUCUGUUAGUACC
rnacentral:lncRNA from 1 species